rnacentral:rRNA from 1 species
AUUGAACGCUGGCGGCAGGCUUAACACAUGCAAGUCGAGCGAGCGGCGGACGGGUGAGUAAUGCCUGGGAAACUGCCUUAUGGAGGGGGAUAACUACUGGAAACGGUAGCUAAUACCGCAUACCAUCGUAUGAGCCCAGUUGGGAUUAGGUAGUUGGUGGGGUAAAGGCUCACCAAGGCGACGAUCCCUAGCUGGUCUGAGAGGAUGACCAGCCACACUGGAACUGAGACACGGGCCAGACUCCUAAGGGAGGCAGCAGUGGGGAAUAUUGCGCAAUGGGAGCAAUCCUGACGCAGCCAGGCCGCGUGUAUGAAGAAGGCCUUCGGGUUGUAAAGUUCUUUCGGUAGGGAGGCGUUACCCACAGAAGAAGAACCGGCUAACUCCGUGCCAGCAGCCGCGGUAAUUC